UGCGUGCCUCGCACGUAGUCGCGUCGAAAACCGUGUGAAGCAAGCUAACAGCUGUCCCAUGAAUGUACGGUGAAUGCAACUUUUCCAUCUAAAUUUUCCCUCGUCUUGCACCCUUGGCAAGCGGAGCGAGGUUCACAGUGCUAUAUCGACAGAAGAAUUCCGCAAUAAAAGGUUGCACCCCUCAGAGACUCUCCGGUUACUUCGAUGUCAAGGGCUGCUACAAUAUAUAUAUGUAUAUAUAUUAGUGCUGUCAAGCGAUUAAAAUAUUUAUUCGAGAUUAAUCGCAUUAAUGUCAUAGUUAACUCACGAUUUAAUCGCACAUUUUUUUCCUAUGCUAAAUAUCCCUUGAUUUCUUUGUCCCAUUAAUUGUUCUCAUUUUAAUGCUCUUAUCAACAUGGAGAAGUGCAUCGGCUUUCCUUGUGGAAAUGUUUUUUUAUUGAUAACAACAUUGGCAUAUACUGAUCAAAACAGGACGAUGCAAAAAAAAAGCCUAUAGUGCAAUUAAACGAUGAACAUACAAACAUACUGCCUUGAACAUAGCAGUCAGGCUACUGCUUCUUUGUUUUGAGCCAAUUUUUUAUUAAUAAAUUGCGUUAAUCGCGCAAUAAAAAAAUGAACGCCGUUAAAAUUGGUUU